rnacentral:rRNA from 1 species
GCUAAUACCGCAUAUCUCUAUGGAGCAAAGCAGGGGACCUUCGGGCCUUGUGCUACCGGAUACGCCUAGGUGGGAUUAGCUAGUUGGUGAGGUAAUGGCUCACCAAGGCGACGAUCCCUAGCUGGUCUGAGAGGAUGAUCAGCCACACUGGAACUGAGACACGGUCCAGACUCCUACGGGAGGCAGCAGUGGGGAAUAUUGCACAAUGGGCGAAAGCCUGAUGCAGCCAUGCCGCGUGUAUGAAGAAGGCCUUCGGGUUGUAAAGUACUUUCAGCAGUGAGGAAGGGUGUGUACUUAAUACGUGCACAUCUUGACGUUAGCUGCAGAAGAAGCACCGGCUAACUCCGUGCCAGCAGCCGCGGUAAUACGGAGGGUGCGAGCGUUAAUCGGAAUUACUGGGCGUAAAGCGCAUGCAGGUGGUUCAUUAAGUCAGAUGUGAAAGCCCGGGGCUCAACCUCGGAACUGCAUUUGAAACUGGUGAACUAGAGUACUGUAGAGGGGGGUAGAAUUUCAGGUGUAGCGGUGAAAUGCGUAGAGAUCUGAAGGAAUACCAGUGGCGAAGGCGGCCCCCUGGA